GAUGAACGCUGGCGGCGUGCCUAAUACAUGCAAGUCGAGCGAACAGACGAGGAGCUUGCUCCUCUGACGUUAGCGGCGGACGGGUGAGUAACACGUGGAUAACCUACCUAUAAGACUGGGAUAACUUCGGGAAACCGGAGCUAAUACCGGAUAAUAUAUUGAACCGCAUGGUUCAAUAGUGAAAGACGGUUUUGCUGUCACUUAUAGAUGGAUCCGCGCCGCAUUAGCUAGUUGGUAAGGUAACGGCUUACCAAGGCAACGAUGCGUAGCCGACCUGAGAGAGUGAUCGGCCACACUGGAACUGAGACACGGUCCAGACUCCUACGGGAGGCAGCAGUAGGGAAUCUUCCGCAAGGGGCGAAAGCCUGACGGAGCAACGCCGCGGGAGUGAGGAAGGUCUUCGGAUCGUAAAACUCUGUUAUUAGGGAAGAACAAAUGUGUAAGUAACUAUGCACGUCUGGACGGUACCUAAUCAGAAAGCCACGGCUAACUACGU
rnacentral:rRNA from 1 species